rnacentral:rRNA from 1 species
GUACAUUCCUAUAAAAUAACAUUAAUGCAAAAUAUCCCAUUAGAAUUCCGCAGCUAAGCAUGCUCAGUCUAGAGUAGUACGGGGAUGGGUGAUUGCUUGAGAAGUCCUAGUGUUUUUUCCA